UUUAGAGUUUAUCUUUUAAAAUUAUAAUAUCAAACUCUUUAAUGUGGUAACACCUCUUGGACUAAUAUCGUUCAUAAAUGAGUUUAUCAAAUAAAUGAGCUGAACUUAACCAUGCAUAUAUAGUAUGUAUGGUUCAACUCAUUUAAUUUGUGAUCAUUUUUGUGUGAAAUAAAAUGUACAAAAUUUACAUAUAAAUCAUGUUAAGUAUUGAUUCACAAUUUUUCAUUUUUCUGCACUUAAAAAAAAUAGUAUC
rnacentral:lncRNA from 1 species